AGUGGGAUAGCUGGAUCAAAUGGUGGUUCUAUUUCAAGUUUUCCAAGGAAUCUCCAUACUGUUUUCCAAAUUGGUUGCACCAAUUUGCUGUCCCAUCAGCAAU
rnacentral:pre_miRNA from 1 species